UUGAGAAAGGAAAACAGAAAGAGAAGGGGGAGGAGAGGACUUAAAGAUAUUGGAGGGUGAGGAGGAAAUUAAAUAGAAGAAGCACUUUAUCAGUUGAUCUUGUGGAGAGGGGUAAAUGCAUUCUGUGAAAGUGGGAGACUUGUGCCAGUGAUAAAAGUAAUGAAAUUGGACUAAAAGUGGAAAGAAAUUAAAUUGAUCAAACAUUUUUGUAUACGUUUUGAACGAGGUAGUGUGGAUAAUGUCGUCUACACUGUUUGUGUGUGUGUAUACCAGAGCGCCCUUGUGUGGUACCAGUUUGUGAUUACUUUUCAGCCUUUCUAACGAAGCAGGCUGUACAACAAGACUUAUCCCUUGGCGCAUGAGAAUCUCGAGGAAGUAUGAGAGGGAAGGAACUGUAAUACAGUACAACAAAGCUAUGGACAGUGACUUGAGAAGAUCCCAUUCAGAGUGCACUUGUUUGCUCUAUUUCAUCAUAACGUAUUCAUCCAAUUUAUGAUGGAGUGGCUUGGAUUUUCCUGUUUGCUGCUCGGUGUGUUACUGUGGCCGAGCAGCACACAAAACGUUGUACCUGGCACAGCUCUGAACUGUUGUGAGGGGGAUAUCCUGCUCCUGUUGGAUUCUUCAGGAAGUGUGUCAUCCUACGAGUUCUCUCGCCUGCUGCACUUCCUGUCCGAGCUGCUCCUCCCCUUCUCUCUGGGGCGGGGCCAGGUGAGGGCGGGGCUGCUGCAGGUGGGCACUGAGCCACACCUGGAGUUUGGUCUGGAUGCCCACAGCACCCAGCCUGGCCUGCAGGGGGCACUGCAUAGGACCAGGCAACUCCAGGGGGACACCAACACAGAGGCUGCCCUCAGACAGGCCCAGGGGCUGCUAGCCAGAGCUGGGGCUGGGGAUGAGUUGGAGCUCCCCAAAGUGCUGGUGUGGCUAACGGAUGGGGUACAGCCGGGCAUGGUGGAUGGACCAAUGGCAGAGCUGAGAAGGGCGGGUGUGUCUCUGUUGACUGUCUCUACGGGACACGGGAACUACCAGGUGCUGCAGAGGGUGGUGACCCCGCCCAUCGAGUCUCACCUGUACUUUGUGGACAUCGAUGACAUCAGUAUCAUCACAGAGGACCUGAGGGAGGCCAUCAUUGAGCUGAUCCGCGUUGAGCGCCUGAGGGUGGUACAGCUGUCCUCCCACAGUGCCGUACUGAAGUGGCGUCCUGUACUCGGAUCCAACACAGAUUUCUACAGCUUUUUACACUACAGCUCUGUUCUGCCAGGUGGUGGGGAGGGUCAGCCUAAUGGCGGGACCAGCAGUGGGGGGCAGUACCACAGACGGACCCUCCCCGGGGACGCCAGCUGGGUGGAGCUGAGGGGCCUGCAGCCAGACACCAUCUACACUGCCUCCCUCACCCCCAACUCCCAGUCCAACCAUGUUUAUCUCAACACUCUCAGUGUCACCUUCACUACACAACCCGAGGUGUUGAGCCCAGCGGUGGUCACAGUGGCAGACUCAGGCCCUGACAGGGUGCGAGUGAGCUGGGGUCCUUUGCAAACUGAGCAUGUCCAGCGGUACCAGAUAGAGUACGGAGCUCUACCCAGUGGGCAGGUCCACACGGUUAGGCUACAUGGACAUCAGAACUCCACUCUGCUCACUGGUCUAGAGCCAGACACACAGUACCUAGUUACUGUCAGCGCCCUGUACUCCACAGGCAAAGAGAAGGCCAUGUCUGUCAAGGCCUGCACUCAGGAGGGUGCUUUGGUACUUCCCUUAUGCACUACACUUCUCUGUGCGAUUACUAUACCACAGAUCAAUAUAGUGUGGAAGGACCACCAGAGGGCAGGCUGGGCUCAUGGAUAGUAGCCCAACAAGGCAUGGGAGACAAGGUAACCAGAGGCAAUUAAGCACAGCUGACGGUACUAAUGACAUACUCUCCUUCCCCUAUAAGAGAGAGAAUGGAACCAGCAGAGAGAGAGGGAAACUAUCUCUGGAAGAUGGCCACCGAGAGAGAGGAGCUAUCCAGGAAGAACCACUAAGACGUGCUGCCAGCCCUGGCUGACCUCCAGCUGACCCCAGUGGGGCGUGAUGCGGUGCAGGUCCGGUGGUGGGGCCACGAUGAGGGGGUACUGGCUCAACUGGGACAAAAGGCACCUAAAGGACUCUCAGACCAUGAGAAACAAGAUUCUCUGGUCUGAUGAAACCAAGAUUGAACUCUUUGGCCUGAAUGCCAAGCUUCACGUCUGGAGGUAACCUGGCACCAUCCCUACGUUAAGCAUGGUGGUGGCAGCUACAUGCUGUGGGGAUGUUUUUCAGCGGCAGGGACUGGGAGACUAGUCAGGAUUGAGGGAAAGAUGGAUGGCGAAAAGUACAAUUCCUUGAUGAAAACCUGCUCCAGAGUGCUCAGGACCUCAGACUGGGGCUAAGGUUCACCUUCCAAUAGGACAACAACCCUAAUCACACAGCCAAGGCAACGUGGGAGUGGGUUCGGGACAAGUCUCUGAAUGUCCUUGAGUGGCCCAGUCAGAGCCCAGACUUAAACCCGAUUAAACAUCUCUGGAGAGACGUAAAAAUAGCUGUGCAGCGAUGCUCCCAAUCCAACUCCCCACAUACAGGUGUGCCAAGUUUGUAGCGUCAUACCCCAAAAUAAUCCAGGCUGUAAUCGCUGCCAAAGGUGCUUCAACAAAGUACUGAGUAAAGGGUCUAAAUACUUAUGUAAAUGUGAUAUUUGUACAAUGUACAAAUUACCUCAACUAACCUGUACCCCCGCACACUGACUCGGUACCGGUACCCCCUGUAUACAGCCUCGUUAUUGUUAUUUUAUUGUGUUUUUUUUGUUUAUUUGGUAAAUAUUUUCUAAACUCUUCUUGAACUGCACAGUUGGUUAUGGGCUUGUAAAUAAGCAUUUCAAGGUAAGGUCUACCUGUUGUAUUCGGCGCAUGUGACAAAUAAAGUUUAAUUUGGUAUUUAACUUUUUUUAGGGAUUAGCAAACAUUUCGAAAAACCUGUUUUUGCUUUGUCAUCGUGGAUAUUGUUUGUAGAUUGAUGAGGUGGAAAAGUGAUUUAAUACAUUUUAAAAUAAGGUUGUAAUGUAACAAAAUGUGGAAAAAGUCAAGGGGUCUGAAUAAUUUCAGAAUGCACUCUAAUGAAUUAUGCUAAAUGAGGCAAAUAUAACUUGUCUGUGUUUUGCCGUACAUACAGUAAGACAACUGUUGGAACUGCCCCAGCAGAGCUUCUGACAGAUCUUCACUAUGGUGCAUUACGUUUGUUGGAACAUCUCCAGCUCACUGAUAAUAAACAAUGAUUAAUUUAAGAUUGACUUUGAGUG